rnacentral:rRNA from 1 species
CCCUAGAGAUAGGGCCUCCCCUUCGGGGGCAGAGUGACAGGUGUCGCAUGGUUGUCGUCAGCUCGUGUCGUGAGAUGUUGGGUUAAGUCCCGCAACGAGCGCAACCCUUGAUCUUAGUUGCCAGCAUUCAGUUGGGCACUCUAAGGUGACUGCCGGUGACAAACCGGAGGAAGGUGGGGAUGACGUCAAAUCAUCAUGCCCCUUAUGACCUGGGCUACACACGUGCUACAAUGGGCAGAACAAAGGGCAGCGAAGCCGCGAGGCUAAGCCAAUCCCACAAAUCUGUUCUCAGUUCGGAUCGCAGUCUGCAACUCGACUGCGUGAAGCUGGAAUCGCUAGUAAUCGCGGAUCAGCAUGCCGCGGUGAAUACGUUCCCGGGCCUUGUACACACCGCCCGUCACACCACGAGAGUUUGUAACACCCGAAGUCGGUGAGGUAACCUUUUGGAGCCAGCCNCC